rnacentral:rRNA from 1 species
UGCCAGCAGCCGCGGUAAUACGGAGGGAUCGAGCGUUGCUCGGAAUUACUGGGCGUAAAGGGCGCGUAGGCGGUCUUGUAUGUCGGGCGUGAAAGCCCCGGGCUCAACCCGGGAUGUGCGUCCGAAACUGCAAGACUAGAGUCUCGGAGAGGGAGGUGGAAUUCCAGGUGUAGCGGUGGAAUGCGUAGAUAUCUGGAAGAACACCGGUGGCGAAGGCGACCUCCUGGACGAUGACUGACGCUGAGGCGCGAAAGCGUGGGUAGCAAACAGGAUUAGAUA